rnacentral:rRNA from 1 species
GACGAACGCUGGCGGCGUGCUUAACACAUGCAAGUCGAGCGGUAAGGCCCUUUCGGGGGUACACGAGCGGCGAACGGGUGAGUAACACGUGGGUGACCUGCCCUCAGCUCUGGGAUAAGCCUGGGAAACCGGGUCUAAUACCGGAUAUGACUCCAUGACGCAUGUUGUGGGGUGGAAAGCCUUGUGCGGCUGAGGAUGGGCCCGCGGCCUAUCAGCUUGUUGGUGGGGUGANGGCCUACCAAGGCGACGACGGGUAGCCGGCCUGAGAGGGCGACCGGCCACACUGGGACUGAGACACGGCCCAGACUCCUACGGGAGGCAGCAGUGGGGAAUCUUGCGCAAGUGGGCGAAAGCCUGACGCAGCGACGCCGCGUGAGGGAU